rnacentral:tRNA from 6 species
GCCCAGGUGGCGGAAUUGGUAGACGCGCUGGCUUCAGGUGCCAGUGACCGCAAGGUCGUGGAGGUUCGAGUCCUCUCCUGGGCACCA